rnacentral:misc_RNA from 1 species
GAUGAAGAACGUAGCGAAAUGCGAUAAGUAGUGUGAAUUGCAGAAUUCAGUGAAUCAUCGCAUCUUUGAACGCACAUUGCGCCCUUUGGUAUUCCUUAGGGCAUGCCUGUUCGAGCGUCAUUUAAACCUUCAAGCUAAGCUUGGUGUUGGGUGACUGUCCGCUUCACUGCGGACUCGCCUCAAAAUUAUUGGCGGCCGGUACAUUGGCUUCGAGCGCAGCAGAAACGCGAACUCGGGCCCGUCGUAUUGGCUCCCAGAAGCUAGCUUCACAAUUUUGACCUCGGAUCAGGUAGGGAUACCCGCUGAACUUAAGCAUAUCAAUAAGCGGAGGA